rnacentral:tRNA from 1 species
UUGGAUGAAGCCAAAUUAGCGGCAUCUCACUGUUAAUGGGAUUUAGAGUAAUACUCCUUCCAAG